UACGGAGGGGGCGAGCGUUGUCCGAAGUUACUGGGCGUAAAGCGCGUGUAGGCGGGUUGCCAAGUCCGCUGUGAAAGCCCGAGGCUCAACCUCGGAGGGUCGGUGGAUACUGGCAGUCUUGAAGGUGCUAGGGGGAGAUGGAAUUACCGGUGUAGCGGUGAAAUGCGUAGAUAUCGGGAGGAACACCAGUGGCGAAGGCGACUACCUGGCCUGUUCUUGACGCUGAGGCGCGAAAGCUAGGGGAGCAAACGGG
rnacentral:rRNA from 1 species